GUCCACGCCGUAAACGAUGCGCACUAGACAUUGGAAGUAUCGACCCUUUCAGUGUCGGUGAACCAAGCUAACGCGUUAAGUGCGCCGCCUGAGGAGUACGGCCGCAAGGCUAAAACUCAAAGGAAUUGACGGGAGCCCGCACAAGUGGUGGAACAUGUGGUUUAAUUCGACGCUAAGCGUGGAACCUCACCAAGGCUUGACAUCUAGCUGCAAGCCCUAAGAAACUAGGGCCGUCUUCGAGAG
rnacentral:rRNA from 1 species